UUCCCGUACUUGGUGUUACUGCGAAGGGUGGACGGAGAAGGCUAUGUUGGCCGGGCGACGGUUGUCCCGGUUUAAGCGUGUAGGCUGGUUUUCCAGGCAAAUCCGGAAAAUCAAGGCUGAGGCGUGACGACGAGGCACUACGGUGCUGAAGCAACAAAUGCCCUGCUUCCAGGAAAAGCCUCUAAGCAUCAGGUAACAUCAAAUCGUACCCCAAACCGACACAGGUGGUCAGGUAGAGAAUAC
rnacentral:rRNA from 1 species